UAAGAGUAAUUGGACAAAAAC
rnacentral:piRNA from 1 species